rnacentral:rRNA from 1 species
AGGCUCAGGAUGAACGCUAGCUACAGGCUUAACACAUGCAAGUCGGAGGGGCAGCAUGGUCUUAGCUUGCUAAGGCCGAUGGCGACCGGCGCACGGGUGAGUAACGCGUAUCCAACCUGCCUUACACUCUUGGACAGCCUUCUGAAAGGGAGAUUAAUACAAGAUGUUAUCAUGAGUAAGCAUUUUCGCAUGAUUAAAGGUUUACCGGUGUAAGAUGGGGAUGCGUUCCAUUAGA